GUGGUGGCUCAGUGGUAGAGCAUUUGCCUAGCAUAUGUGAGGCACUGGGUUCAAUUCUCAGCACCACA
rnacentral:tRNA from 1 species